rnacentral:rRNA from 1 species
ACAGCAGUAGCCGCGGUAAUACGGAGGGUGCAAGCGUUAAUCGGAAUUACUGGGCGUAAAGCGCACGCAGGCGGUCUGACAAGUCAGAUGUGAAGUCCCCGGGCUUAACCUGGGAACUGCAUUUGAAACUGUCAGGCUGGAGUCUUGUAGAGGGGGGUGGAAUUCCAGGUGUAGCGGUGAAAUGCGUAGAGAUCUGGAGGAAUACCGGUGGCGAAGGCGGCCCCCUGGACAAAGACUGACGCUCAGGUGCGAAAGCGUGGGGAGCAAACAGGAUUAGAUACCCCUGUAGUCCCUGUCUCUUAUAC